ACGAACGCUGGCGGCGUGGAUAAGACAUGCAAGUCGAACGCUGAUUACUAGGUAGCAAUAUUUUGGUAGUCGGAAGUGGCGCAAGGGUGCGUAACACGUGGGCAAUCUGCCGUGAAAGUUGGGGAUAACUCGCUGAAAAGGCGAGCUAAUACCGAAUGUGAAAAUUGGUUGGCAUCAAUUGAUUUUCAAAGUUGGGGAACCGUAAGGCCCUGACGCUUCCACGAUGAGCCCGCGGCCUAUCAGCUAGUUGGUGAGGUAACGGCUCACCAAGGCUAAGACGGGUAGCUGGUCUGAGAGGGACGACCAGCCUCACUGGAAACUGAGACACGGUCCAGACACCUACGGGGUGGCAGCAAGUCGAGAAUUUUUCUCAAUGGGCGAAAGCCUGAAGGAGCGACGCCGCGUGGGGGAUGAAUGGCUUCGGCCCGUAAAACCACCCCUGUCAUUUGUGACCAAAACCUUCCGAUCUAACAAGUCGGAAGCUGAUGGGUAGCGGAAAGAAGGAAGGGACGGCUAACUCUGUGCCAGCAGCCGCGGGUAAUACAGAGGUCCCAAGCGUUGUUUCGGAUUCACUGGGCGUAAAGGGUGCGUAGGUGGUCGGAUAAGGUUUGAUGUUGAAAUCUCCGGGCUUAACCCGGAAACUGCAUUGAAUACUAUCUGGCUAGAGGGUUGGAGGGGGGGGAACUGGAAUACUUGGGUGUGGCAGUGAAAUGCGUAGAUAUCAAGUGGAACACCAGUGGCGAAAGGCGAGGUUCCCUGGACAACUCCUGACAACUGAGGCACGAAAGCUAGGGGAGCAAACAGGAUUAGAUACCCUGGUAGUCCUAGCCGUAAACGGUGCGUAUUUGCUGUAAAAGGAAUCGACCCCCUUUUGUGGCGUAGCUAACGCGAUAAAUAACGCCGCCUGGGAAGUACGGUCGCAAGAUUAAAACUCAAAGAAAUUGACGGGGGCCUGCACAAGCCGGUGGAGUAUGUGGGCUUAAUUCGAUGCAAACGCGAAGAACCUUACCCUGGCCUUGACAUGCACAUAGUAGAAGCCCUGAAAGGGUGACGAGGGGUAGCAAUAACCAGUUGUGCACAGGUGCUGCAUGGCUGGUCGUCAGCUCGUGUCGUGAGAUGUUGGGUUUAAGUCCCCGCAACGAGGCGCACCCCUGUGUCCUGUUGCCACCCCUUAAUUGGGAGCACUCUGGACAGGACUGCCCUCAUUUUAAUGAGGAGGAAAGGUGGGGAUGACGUCAAGUCAGGAUGGCCCUUACGGCCAGGGCUGCACACGUACUACAAUGCCCGGUACAAAGGGAAGCAAGACCCGCAAGGUGGAGCAAAUCCUCAAAAAUCGGGGCCCCAGUUUCAGAUUGUCGUCUGCAACUCGACGACAUGAAGCUUGGAAUCGCUAGUAAUGGCGCAUCAGCUACGGCGGCCGUGAAUACGUUUCCCAGGCCUUGUACACACCGCCCGUCACAUCAUGAAAGCCGUUUGUAACCCGAAGUCGUUUGUGCCAACCGCAAGGAGGCAGAUGCCGAAGGUAUGGAUGGUGAUUGGGAUG
rnacentral:rRNA from 1 species